rnacentral:rRNA from 1 species
GAUGAACGCUGGCGGCGUGCCUAAUACAUGCAAGUCGAGCGAACGGACGAGAAGCUUGCUUCUCUGAUGUUAGCGGCGGACGGGUGAGUAACACGUGGAUAACCUACCUAUAAGACUGGGAUAACUUCGGGAAACCGGAGCUAAUACCGGAUAAUAUUUUGAACCGCAUGGUUCAAAAGUGAAAGACGGUCUUGCUGUCACUUAUAGAUGGAUCCGCGCUGCAUUAGCUAGUUGGUAAGGUAACGGCUUACCAAGGCAACGAUGCAUAGCCGACCUGAGAGGGUGAUCGGCCACACUGGAACUGAGACACGGUCCAGACUCCUACGGGAGGCAGCAGUAGGGAAUCUUCCGCAAUGGGCGAAAGCCUGACGGAGCAACGCCGCGUGAGUGAUGAAGGUCUUCGGAUCGUAAAACUCUGUUAUUAGGGAAGAACAUAUGUGUAAGUAACUGUGCACAUCUUGACGGUACCUAAUCAGAAAGCCACGGCUAACUACGUGCCAGCAGCCGCGGUAAUACGUAGGUGGCAAGCGUUAUCCGGAAUUAUUGGGCGUAAAGCGCGCGUAGGCGGUUUUUUAAGUCUGAUGUGAAAGCCCACGGCUCAACCGUGGAGGGUCAUUGGAAACUGGAAAACUUGAGUGCAGAAGAGGAAAGUGGAAUUCCAUGUGUAGCGGUGAAAUGCGCAGAGAUAUGGAGGAACACCAGUGGCGAAGGCGACUUUCUGGUCUGUAACUGACGCUGAUGUGCGAAAGCGUGGGGAUCAAACAGGAUUAGAUACCCUGGUAGUCCACGCCGUAAACGAUGAGUGCUAAGUGUUAGGGGGUUUCCGCCCCUUAGUGCUGCAGCUAACGCAUUAAGCACUCCGCCUGGGGAGUACGACCGCAAGGUUGAAACUCAAAGGAAUUGACGGGGACCCGCACAAGCGGUGGAGCAUGUGGUUUAAUUCGAAGCAACGCGAAGAACCUUACCAAAUCUUGACAUCCUUUGACAACUCUAGAGGUAGAGCUUUCCCCUUCGGGGGACAAAGUGACAGGUGGUGCAUGGUUGUCGUCAGCUCGUGUCGUGAGAUGUUGGGUUAAGUCCCGCAACGAGCGCAACCCUUAAGCUUAGUUGCCAUCAUUAAGUUGGGCACUCUAAGUUGACUGCCGGUGACAAACCGGAGGAAGGUGGGGAUGACGUCAAAUCAUCAUGCCCCUUAUGAUUUGGGCUACACACGUGCUACAAUGGACAAUACAAAGGGCAGCGAAACCGCGAGGUCAAGCAAAUCCCAUAAAGUUGUUCUCAGUUCGGAUUGUAGUCUGCAACUCGACUACAUGAAGCUGGAAUCGCUAGUAAUCGUAGAUCAGCAUGCUACGGUGAAUACGUUCCCGGGUCU